GCAAAUUGAAGAAAAAUAUGAGUCCCCAGAACAAAGGUGGCCACACAGUAGCCAGCGCAGGAAUAAACAAAUCUCUCCACGGCUGCCUGAAACUAAUUAGAAGGCGUCCGAAUAUCAGUGGUGUUCUAACUACAAAGAACAGCCCAAGUCAAGUACAGACGACUUCCAAAAAGGCACCAUCUGGGAACCAUUUUCAGAGAGCAGGUGAAGAGUCAGUGACUCACAAGAGCAGGCGGAGGAAACAAAAGUCAAAGAGCAACAGUUGAUCAAAGGGUUCAUUUCCGCUCCAUGCAUCGCUUGCCGACAACACCACAGAACCCAUAAUUGUUUCUCCUUCAUCAGUGAACAUAUGUUUUGCUUGUGACCGCUUCAAGUAUGCACAGGUUCACAAAUCCACAUGUAUAGCAGGCUAAUAAAUGCUGCUAAUUAUAUUUCCUCCCCAAAAGGCUGCUAACCAUGCAAAUGAGAAGUGCUAAUCCUGUGCAGCAGAACUUGAAACGACAGCCAAACAGCCCAAGCACGCAGCUUGAAGGAUGCAGCAUAUGUCCUUCAGAAGGAUGCUGGAACUGACAUUUGCCGCAUCCAUAAUUCACCGUUUAGAUGGGGGGGGCAGUUAAUUAGCAAUUUGCUGAUAGGAUAGGUGGCAUUUCCCAGGUAGGGAGGUACACGGUGACUACAUUUUUCUACUGAACAACAAAAAUGGACUGUCCUAAAAAGUACCAACACAUUAUUUCAUAGAGCCAAAUUUUAUGCCAAGCAUGCCUGAUCAUCAAAGGAGAAACAAAUGCUCACAGCAUUCUGAACGGAGCGCAUGCGUUUUACACAGAUCUGCCGUGUCCCCCAGGAAGGCACUUAAAACCCCCGCGGCCUCACAAGGAAAAGGUUUCACCCAACAUCAGGAGGCAUGACACGGAUAGAUCCUUUGAAAACGUGAACCUGUCACUGCUACAUAAAUGACGAGCGUGUAAGGAGCCUUUGGCACUGGGAAAAGCAGGAGCUCACCUUUUCUUCAAUAGGGCAUUUUUCUUUGAGCCAGUGAUUCAGGACCUCAUCUUUGAAUGCGCCCGUGUUGCCCACUGUGCUUUGCUGUAUUUUAGCAAUUGUCGUGGCAUCUUUCACGAUCUCGAUCAUGCCUAUGGGAGGAGGCACAGAAUCUGAUGUAAAUUGGGGCCUCAUGCCUGACCCAGAGGGUGAAUGGCUGUGUCACUGUUGAUGGGAGGGGGCUGUUGUCCAGGUUUGUGCUGUUGGUUUUCUUAGGAGGGAGAGAAAGAAGAGGAGGAUGGAGGAAGUUUGGUGGGACAUGCUUUCAGUAUCCUUGAAUGAAAAGAUGAAAGGUUUUUUUUUUUUUUAAGAUUUUAUUUAUUUGCGAGAGAGAGAAUGAGAGACAGAGAGCAUGAGAGGGAGGAGGGGAGGGUCAGAGGGAGAAGCAGACUCCCUGCUGAGCAGGGAGCCUGACGUGGGACUCGAUCCCGGGACUCCAGGAUCAUGACCUGAGCCGAAGGCAGUUGCUUAACCAACUGAGCCACCCAGGCGCCCCGAAAGGUUGGUUUUAAAAGGUAGUAAGUAGGGGCACCUGGGUGGCUCAGUCAUUAAGUGUCUGCCUUCAGCUCAGGUCAUGAUCACAGGGUCCUGGGAUCGAGCCCCACAUCGGGUUCCCUGCUCCACGGGGAGCCUGCUUCUCUCUCUCCGCCCCCCCGCCCCCCAUUUGUGUUCCCUCUCUCACUGUGUCUCUCUCUGUCAAAUAAAUAAAAAUAUUAAAGAAAAAGUAGUAAGUAAAAGCAUGUAUGUGCUGAGCAUAGGUGCUUGGCAAACUGUGCCUUUUCCUUUUUUUAAUCAAAGGGUCAAAUGGAAGUGGUUUUAUACAGUUCUCAGAUCAGAAGCUCAAAUAAAAAUAUCUGUGGUGGAAACAAAAAUGUUAAAUGUCUAUAAAAGCACCUAAGAGUCGAGUAUAUAAUCGCUUCAAUAAUGUGAAUUCUAAGAUAUUGAAAUAAGUGACAGAUCUUACCAUCUAUUUUUAAAUGUUAUUUGUGAGACAGAAGUUUAAUGUGCAGUGAAACAAGCUACAGUUUAGACGUGGAGAAGUAGAGAGGAGGGAAUGAGUUCUUACUAAAAUCAUUGCCAUGUAUAGUCACAGGAUUGGAAUCCCACAUUUGUAUAUUUUCAACAGAUCCACAGAGACACAUGCACCAGCCUUGGAACACUGCCUUCCUUUUUAUAUGGAUUAUGUUUGUAAUUUUCCAGGUAUUAAAUGCUUGCACUAAAGGGCUUAGGAUCCUUUAAAGCGAGCUGAGCAGUACAUUCACCUCCCGAGGUGACCACAUACCUAUUUUGUCCCCAGUUGAAAUGCAACCAUAUGGCAGGAGGCACAGAUCCAAAGAUUCAGUCUCCCAAAUGGAUUCCAUGAUUCGUAGAAUCUAGACAUCGGACACAAAAAAAUGUUUCCAUUAGAAAUACAUAUUUAAUGUAUUUUUCUUCUCCUUUAAAAAACCCGACAAUCUUAACUGGAAACGUGAAAUAUGUACGUUAACGUACACUCUGUAAGUAACAGCUGUACUUUAUUUAUCAGUGGGGUGCUCUGAAGUUCCCAUUCCUUGGGAGCCUCUUAAGUUUGGUCCCUGAGAUGUACUCUGGGGAAGAAGAUGAAUGGACUUAGUGCGGGGAGAGGUGGUAAUCACGUUUCAGCUGUUCAGAGGUUCCACUCCAGUUAUGUGUAUUUUAUCACCACAACAAAAAAUGUUCCACUCUGACGUUCUUAUGAGUUUAAACCCAUAAGGCACUCUUGGGUUAACCCAAGGCCACACUAACAGUGAUGAGAAUGCUGGCUACUUUACUGAGUCUGUUUUAUGUCGAUCCUUUGCAUUUACCCUAUCCUGUGAGUAGGAUUAUCAUUCCCAUUCUGCAGGUGGAGAGACUAAGGCUUCAUGAGCUUUUGUAACUUGCCCUCACCUGCCAAGAAGUGUGCCUCAGCAUCAAAACAAGUACAUAAAAGGCAAGUGCAAACCUCCCUGCAAAGUGAGAGGAAGGACACAGUGAUGCACAGUGAUGCUUUGCAUUUCUGAAGCUCUUGUCUUUGGAUAAUUCAAAGGAGUCUACAGAUUUAUGGGAAGUGCCAUAAACCUUCAAAAGGUUUGAAGGAUUUCUUUUCCUUUCUUUCUUUUUAAUACUUCUGGGACAAUAAACAUAGGAUUCUUGAAAAGAGAGCAAAAGGUAUUAUUGUUUCCAUAUUAGAAAUAAGUACAAGCAGAAAUGGAAAGAAUGGAAAACACGACCAGUUUUUAAAUAGGCCACAUUUAAAUCAAUGAGGUUUGCCUAUUUUAUUUUUUUUUAAGAUUUUUAUUUAUUUGACAGAGAGAGACACAGCAAGAGAGGGAACACAAGCAGGGGGAGUGGGAGAGGGAGAAGCAGGCAGAGCAGGGAGCCUGAUGCGGGGCUCGAUCCCAGGAUCUGGGAUCUUGAUCUGAGCCGAAGGCAGAUGCUUAACGACUGAGCCACCCAGGCGCCCCAAGGCUUGCCUAUUUUAAAUAAACCACACAAAAGAUGAGAAAUUAUGUUACUUCUACAGUGGUGAGCUGGAAUAUGGAGAUUUACUACACCAGUUUGCAAAGCUAAAGUUGAUCCAGAAAUGUUAGAGAAUAUGGAAGAUGAUGAACAUUGAUUACCAUCCACCUUCUGCUCUAGUAAUCCAUUCACUCUUUCUACUUAACUGCACGAUUUCUGAAAUCACCUGCCUGUUCAUCUUCUCUCUCCUUCCUGUCAAAUCCUUCACUUGAGUUUGUGGAUAUGGAUGUAUAUCAAAGUGAUGUAUCUAAGGAGAGCACCUGUGGGUGCACAGCUAUGUCUAUAAAUCCAAAUAAAGUGGAUGCCAG